GACAAGAUGGCCGAGCGGUUAAGGCGCAUGACUCGUAUUCAUGUAGAGAAAUCUGCGUGGGUUCGAGUCCCACUCUUGUCA
rnacentral:tRNA from 1 species